UCUUUUUUAGGUCCUCCGGGCAGCUCAUAUUUUUUUCGGUGUCAUUUUUUGGUGGCAAUGGAGGGUUUUGGCACGCUGUCAUCGCCGCAGCAGCUUUGCUGACUGUAGCUAACUGGGUUUUUAAGUUUAUAUUUUUACGCAGUAGAAGUGACACUACGUUAAUCAUCUUUUCUUUGUCCCACUCGGAGCUUGUCCACUCCUUUUUGACUCCCUCCUCUCCUCUCAGCGAGAAGUAGCCGCUGAUGCACCCUGUCUCCGCUCCGCUCGCUUGGUGAUAAGCGAUGUGAGCCCAUAAUUUAUCCGCGUUAUCUAUGUGGCGCCCCCCACUAUAUCAGGGGCAGUUUUUAAUUAAUUUUCACUCCAUCACAUUUUCUCUUAAUCCUGUUCGUGACGCCAUGUCGGGACCCAGGGCAGCCGGCCAGCAGCUCUCCCUGACUCCCACCCGGGCAGAUAAGGGUCCGGGGCCUUAGAAGGCCGUCAGACAGGUAUUUGUGACGCUUGGAGUGGAAUUAAUUAGGCGGACGCUUAUCGGUUGUAAAGCAAGAUUAUUUAUUCAUGCCGUCAAGGUGGUGAAUAGCGGAGGUCAGAGAUAUUUGGUUAGUUAUAGUUUAGGGUUCGUAGGUCAUAGGUCGGUCUGUAUAAGAGUUCGUCGGUCGGGCAGAUAAACAGAGAAAAAAGUCAGGCCGGCAGGUCGUUGAUUUACGUCUGAUAAUUGGGUCGAGACGGGGGAGACUGACAAGUGAUCAAUUUGUCAGUUAUUUUUACGCAUAUGUUGAGAAGUUUUUUAGGUGCGUGUGCGGAGGUCUCCCAUUCUUCACGGAAGUGAAGACAGGUUUUAUUUGUGUAAUAGCCAAUUGUUUUUCGCCACGUCAUAAAUUUAAUUAGCAUCACCAAUUAUCUAGCGGUCUUCGCUAGGGUGUUAUCAUAGGGUUAUUCCCUGUUUUUUUUGACCAGUUAUAAUGAUUUAUGUACAGCACAGAAGGCUAAGUUUUAUUUUAUGUUGGUGUCGCAGUUAUAAAUUUUUUUUUGACAUGCGCAGCAAAAAAGCGGUUAUCAUCAUUAUUGUUAACCCUUAGUUAACCUAGUGUAGAAAAAAACUGUUUUGAAAGGUUUUAUUUGUUUGUGACAUGGGCACUACUUAAUUGGGUUGUGACAGAAAAAAAUUUCACUUAACUGUACUCUGGGCUUCUUGUAUAUUCAGUUUUUAAUCUGUAAACCUGGGGCAAGUCCUGUCUAUGAACUUUCUCAAGUGGAAACCAUGAAGGUCUAGGUACAGUUCAAAGAAAGACUUAAGCCCUGUUCCUAGGUGCCUCAAUGGACCCAAAACAUGUGAAUCCAAAACAGAAUCCUGCUCCUCAACUGCCUGACUCAGGAGAAGCCCAGACUAGUGAUUCUCAACAGAAGUGCCGUAGCACCCUGGGGUGCAACCAGAUUCUGUGAGGAGUGCUUCAAGAGAUGGCAGAUGGGGGAUUGGCUCCACCUGGCCAAUCCUCCGUCCCCACUACCUGGCUCCUGUACAAGGAGCUCUUGUUCAUCAGAGAUGUUACCGGGGAUCACUACAUGGAUCUCGUCGAUUCCCAGGUGCAUUGAGCAGGAUUUGAUUCAUGAAGAUGCUGAUAUUCAAAAUGAUUGGUUGCUAGCACUGACCCUGGAAAGCAAUGACCACUAGCAAGAUUUGAUGAUACAAUUUUAAGCAUCUGUCACCACUUGCUUGUCCUCCUAGGCCAUUUUUAAGGAUAUGGCAUCAGUCCAUGGUAGCAUCUGAAAUGACAAACUGCGGUGCUAUAAAUCAGAGAUGAAAGCAAUAGUAGGUGCAUAGACUGUGGAAGGAAAGUACAGUAGUUUUUAGAUGAAUAGGAUAACACUCAGACUGGUGGUGAGGAGACUAUGUUAAAUCAAAAAGGGGGACAGACUCGCAUCAGCUGGAGUAUUCACAGCUAGGCUGUGACUUUUGAAACCCAGUUUAUCACCACUCCAAAACCUCCAAAAAAUUCUAUUCCCUCCAUGCACAGCUUCAUAUAGUUCUAGAUGGCAGGAGAGAAGUUUUUCUAACUUGUUUUCUGCAGUUACAGAUAACCCACAGGUGCCUAGCUAGUUUGUGCAUCUCGUUCACAUGCCAAGGGUCGAGGGUCAAGUUGAUUGCUCUAUUUGGGUUUUCCAUUUGCAGAGAAACAUGGAUUUUCUCCUUUAAGGGUCAAAAACAUGGACAAUUUCAGGUUUCUGCUUGCAGGCUGGCAGAGUUCCAGCUUGCAAGGGGCUGCUUGGGGCUGGGGGGAGUGGGAGGAGGAGGAUCACAGGCAAGGAGUGCCGCAUGUAUGUGCAUGUGCACACAUGCACGUGGCAGCCAGGUAACGUGGUGGAGAGCAGCUCCCGCACCUCCUUCCAUGUAAGUCUAUGGGGCAGGGGGGCAUAUGUGAUGGGGAGGCACAUGCCACCUCAGACUUCUUGUGUCCACAGUGGGCAUGGGACUGCAGCCUGGCUUGACUGGCAUGGGCAGGAGCCACUUCCAUGGCCAUGCAGGUGGGACCCAGCACAGGAGGUUUGAGUGGGGCAGUGUGAGGAGGCUCAGUGUUGCUGCCACCACUGCCAGGACCUCUGCACCAGCCACACCAGCAGCAGCACGAGGAGUAACAGACUGGGGCAGGAGGGGACUGUGCUGCCCUUACCUUCUCCCACUGCCAGCCUCUUACAUGUUGGGCCAUGGCUCUACCUUGCUGCUACCACCGCUUCCCUCAGGCUAUGGCUUUACCUUGGAGGGGAGGUGGGGGACAAUGUAGGUGGCCUGAGCGGGUAUCAGCACUGGCCAGUCCAUGGCAGCAGGGUAGAGCCACAGCCUGGUGCAUGAGUGGCUGGUGGUGGAAGGUGGAGAGGGCAGUGCGGACCCCUUGCCCCCUUGGUCCAUUACUCCUUAUGCUGCUGGUGGCACAGAUGAUGCAGGGGUCCUGGUGGCGGCAACAAGUCUCACUGCUCUAUUCCACCCUCCUGUGCUGGGUCCCACCUGCUGGGCCACAGAGGUGGCUCUUGCCCAUGCCAGUCCAACUGGGCUGCAACUCUGUACCAUCUGUGGGCACAUAAAUCUGGGGGUGGGGGGACACGUGUCCUCCCUGACAUGUUGCCUAUAGCAUUGUCUAUGGUCAGGCACCCUCCCCGCCCCACACAUCCACCCUUUUCCUCACAGAUCGGGGAGCUGUGGCCUGGGGGUGGAGGACAGUGUGUUGGGAG